UACGUAGGGUGCAAGCGUUAAUCGGAAUACUGGGCGUAAAGCGUGCGCAGGCGGUGAUGUAAGACAGAUGUGAAAUCCCCGGGCUCAACCUGGGAACUGCAUUUGUGACUGCAUCGCUGGAGUGCGGCAGAGGGGGAUGGAAUUCCGCGUGUAGCAGUGAAAUGCGUAGAUAUGCGGAGGAACACCGAUGGCGAAGGCAAUCCCCUGGGCCUGCACUGACGCUCAUGCACGAAGCGUGGGAGCAAACAGG
rnacentral:rRNA from 1 species